rnacentral:tRNA from 1 species
AGGCUCGUAGCUCAGUGGGAGAGCACUACCUUGACACGGUAGGGGUCGGCGGUUCGAAACCGCCCGGGCCUACCA